rnacentral:rRNA from 1 species
UACGUAGGGUGCAAGCGUUGUCCGGAAUUAUUGGGCGUAAAGGGCUCGUAGGCGGUUUGUCGCGUCGGGAGUGAAAUCCACUGGCUUAACUGGUGGCUUGCUUUCGAUACGGGCAGACUGGAGGUAUGCAGGGGAGAACGGAAUUCCUGGUGUAGCGGUGAAAUGCGCAGAUAUCAGGAGGAACACCGGUGGCGAAGGCGGUUCUCUGGGCCUGUACUGACGCUGAGGAGCGAAAGUGUGGGGAGCGAACAGG